ACAGCAGCAGCCGCGGUAAUACGGAGGGUGCGAGCGUUAAUCGGAAUUACUGGGCGUAAAGCGUACGCAGGCGGUUUGUUAAGUCAGAUGUGAAAUCCCCGAGCUUAACUCGGGAACUGCAUUUGAAACUGGCAGGCUAGAGUCUCGUAGAGGGGGGUAGAAUUCCAGGUGUAGCGGUGAAAUGCGUAGAGAUCUGGAGGAAUACCGGUGGCGAAGGCGGCCCCCUGGAUGAAGACUGACGCUCAGGUACGAAAGCGUGGGGAGCAAACAGGAUUAGAUACCCGCGUAGUCCCUGUCUCUUAUAC
rnacentral:rRNA from 1 species